rnacentral:rRNA from 1 species
AUGCCAUCAGAAACACUUUUGCAACCAAACCACAGGCCAUCAGACGACCCCGUCCAACGCCCCACCUUACCAGGCCCACACCCGCGGCUAGAGGAAUCGUCAGCGCAUCGACGUCUGGCCGAAGGACAAAAUCCCCACAUAGCAUGGUCGUCGUCGUCGCAUCGUCGACCAGGUGGAGGAAUGAAAGACUCACAAGAUAUGUGGACCCACGAGCACCAAAAGCCGCCAAAUCGACGACGAAGCCCUAGAAGACGUUGUCGCGGAGGGGAUGGCAAGGCGGCACGCUUAUUCUCCCCGAUAGCAUCUCCGCCUCCACAUCACCGCCAUAUUGGCGAUGAAGCCCCAGAAGACACCGUCGCGGAGGGGAUGGCGAGGUGGCGCACAUCUUCUCCCCGACAUCAUCUCCGCCUCCACAUCGCCGUCGACCAAAAACCUAACUACACCCACGUCAAAGCAGAGAUCCGGGGUUUUCCCACCCUAUAA